rnacentral:rRNA from 1 species
CCUACGUGAGGCUGCAGUGGGGAAUAUUGGACAAUGGGGGGAACCCUGAUCCAGCCAUGCCGCGUGUGUGAAGAAGGCCCUCGGGUUGUAAAGCACUUUCAGUGAGGAAGAACGCCUGGUGGUUAAUACCCAUCAGGAAAGACAUCACUCACAGAAGAAGCACCGGCUAACUCCGUGCCAGCAGCCGCGGUAAUACGGAGGGUGCGAGCGUUAAUCGGAAUUACUGGGCGUAAAGCGCGCGUAGGUGGCUUGAUAAGCCGGUUGUGAAAGCCCCGGGCUCAACCUGGGAACGGCAUCCGGAACUGUCAAGCUAGAGUGCAGGAGAGGAAGGUAGAAUUCCCGGUGUAGCGGUGAAAUGCGUAGAGAUCGGGAGGAAUACCAGUGGCGAAGGCGGCCUUCUGGACUGACACUGACACUGAGGUGCGAAAGCGUGGGUAGCAAACAGGAUUAGAUACCCUGGUAGUC